UCGAGCAUUUGGUCAAUGAAUGGUAAAGGAAAAUGAUCUUUCCUAGAUGCAACAUUCAACUUCCUAUAAUCAAUGCACAUUCUAUGACCAGUUAUAGUUCUAAUAGGGAUCAGUUCAUCCUUUUCAUUUUUAACAACAGUCAUUCCACCCUUUUUAGGGACGCAAUGCACUGGAGAAACCCAAGUACUAUCA
rnacentral:sRNA from 1 species